ACGGGUGAGUAACACGUGGGUGAUCUGCCCUGCACUCUGGGAUAAGCCUGGGAAACUGGGUCUAAUACCGGAUAGGACCACACACUUCAUGGUGAGUGGUGCAGAGCUUUUGCGGUGUGGGAUGAGCCCGCGGCCUAUCAGCUUGUUGGUGGGGUAAUGGCCCACCAAGGCGACGACGGGUAGCCGGCCUGAGAGGGUGACCGGCCACACUGGGACUGAGAUACGGCCCAGACUCCUACGGGAGGCAGCAGUGGGGAAUAUUGCACAAUGGGCGCAAGCCUGAUGCAGCGACGCCGCGUGAGGGAUGACGGCCUUCGGGUUGUAAACCUCUUUCAGUAGGGACGAAGCGAAAGUGACGGUACCUACAGAAGAAGGACCGGCCAACUACGUGCCAGCAGCCGCGGUAAUACGUAGGGUCCGAGCGUUGUCCGGAAUUACUGGGCGUAAAGAGCUCGUAGGUGGUUUGUCGCGUUGUUCGUGAAAACUCACAGCUUAACUGUGGGCGUGCGGGCGAUACGGGCAGACUAGAGUACUGCAGGGGAGACUGGAAUUCCUGGUGUAGCGGUG
rnacentral:rRNA from 1 species